GAUGAACCAUUGUAGGCAGAUAUAAGGGGUUGGGCAUGAAAUGCCGGCUGUGAAAAUCCCAAUGGUCUCGGGAUGCCGACAGCAGCACACCGACGGACUCAGGGCUCCACAUUCCAAAAGGCCUAAAAUUCAAUCCAUACGAAGAAUGCGAUGUUAACAUGAUAUAGUCAGUUCCUCCAUCCGUUAUCUCACUGUCUUGCCGGCUGUUCGAUCAAUGCUUGUGUUCACGUCUUAUAAGUCUAAUGGGAGAAGACGAUAUUGCGGACAGGACCACACUGACGGCAAAGCUGGCCGAAACCAAUUACACAGAGUAUGAGAAAAAGAAGAAGAAAAAAGUCAGAGAUCUCUGAAUAACCUUUCGCAACAUGUGUUUUACCCACAUCUCUGUUGGCUUUGCACACAACCAGCAUGUGCAUUUUAAUUAAAAUGUCCUUAAACGUAAUUUGAUUUUUUUUUUGUUCCCCCUUUCUCGGAGUCCACAUCUUAAUCAUCAGCACAGCACCUGACACAACAAACUCUCCCUGCUUCCACACGCAGCAUCGCAAAGCCAUUUACAGGGCUGCAAUAUAGAAGAAAUAUUGCAAAUGAAAGGACCUGAAAACGCAGUCUCUCUCUACAGUAACGGGUACAGCUGUAACCACAUGCUGCUGACAUUAGGCCUAAGACGCCAAAUGACCGGGGUUAUAGCGGUUUAAAACAGAUUAACCCAGGGAGCAAGAACCGCCUCUGCACUAUAAACUUACAGCUAAAUCCAGACGCUUUCUGCUUUCUCCUCGGCCUUGACGUUUGUUCAUGUAAAUUCUUCAGAGACUUAAGACGAAUGUUUAUCUCGAUAGAUUAAUGGCGAUAGGAGUGUAAGUGGUUUCC